rnacentral:rRNA from 1 species
GACGAACGCUGGCGGUGUGCUUAACACAUGCAAGUCGAACGGUAAGGCCCUUUCGGGGGUACACGAGUGGCGAACGGGUGAGUAACACGUGAGUAACCUGCCCUCAUCUCUGGGAUAACAGUCGGAAACGGUUGCUAAUACUGGAUAUGAGCUUGCAAGGCAUCUUGUGGGUUGGAAAGAUUUUUUUGGUUGGGGAUGGACUCGCGGCCUAUCAGCUUGUUGGUGAGGUAGUGGCUCACCAAGGCUUCGACGGGUAGCCGGCCUGAGAGGGCGACCGGCCACAUUGGGACUGAGAUACGGCCCAAACUCCUACGGGAGGCAGCAGUGGGGAAUAUUGCACAAUGGACGGAAGUCUGAUGCAGCAACGCCGCGUGCGGGAGGACGGCCUUCGGGUUGGAAACCGCUUUCAAUUGUGACGAAGCUUUUUGUGACGGUAGCAGUAGAAGAAGCACCGGCUAACUACGUG